rnacentral:tRNA from 1 species
AGGGGAUUAGCCAAGUGGUAAGGCACCUGGUUUUGGUCCAGGCACGCGGGGGUUCGAAUCCCUCAUCCCCUGCCA